GUGCACUUCAACACCCUACUAUCACCCAACAAAGAAUUCUGGCCACAGAAUCACCUUGCUGCGGUAUUCCUGACUGAAUCAAGAUACGCUGGGGAAGAGGCAUCUGAAGAUAGCCCGGGUUCUGACCUCGGCCCUGCUGCCUAACUGCCUGGUGACUUCAGCGCAAGGCCUCGCUGAAGCGAACCCAUCGUGGGAAGGGCGCGGAGAAAGCGGGGAGAAAGAGCAGGGGGACGUCGGGCCUGCGCCUGGCACCGCCGCUACCUGGAUUCGCGGGCCCCUCACACACUCACCUGCCGGUAUUCUAAUCACAGAAUUACUGGAGCAUCAAGAAGUGCCUGCAUGCUUGGAAGGGCUUCCAGGCAGAUGAACACACCUCAGCACCGGGUGGCAUUUUCCCAGGGUGCAACCCGGACCGGCUCUGGGUCACACUGACAAGCCUCUCCGACUCCCCAGGCUGGGUUGGGUGCUCCUCCCUCUCAUCCCACAGCGCUAUGUCUCAUGUCUUCUGGAAAACUUGCCAAUCCCUAGUGUAAGUGUGACUGGUCUAUUGUGAGCACCUAUUGUUCAGGGACCUCUGUUUACCUGAGGCCAGGACAAGGGCCUGGAAUGUGAGCAGGAGCAAGGGAGUGCUCGGGAAAUGGAAACAAUGAAUGAAUCAAUCAGUCAAUCAGACAACAGGGUUAACAAUUUCCAGAGACAGCCCGUACAUAGAAGGAAUGUUUACUGAAAAAAAUGAAGAGGGGUCAGGGCAAGGCGAGGAGCAAGAAGCACCCCCAAGGAAACAGAGAAGACCAGUACAACUGUACCUCUUUGCCAGCUGCACCAUCCGUACCAGGUGGCACGUUCCAGAGCCAUAGCCUCUGUUCUAUUCAUCUCCAGUCUCCUGGGGUGGAAGUGUCCAGCACAGAGACUGCCACACUGCAAGACGAAGGGGCUGGACACACGGAAGAGAGAGGCGGAACCCUGCACCCCCUCAACCUCAGCCCUACUGAGUCUCCAAUGGGGCCACGCUUCUGAGUGCACCUCCCCGUGUCAUCUGUAAUGUGAGGGGGAACCAGGCUUGAUAUGGCAUUCCCAAUCCAGGGCCUCUGGACCCCUUGAGAUGCAUAAAAAUAGUGAUGGGGGCCUGAGAGUUCUUUUUUUUUUUUUUUUUUUUUGGUCAUGAACUAUUUUUAACAUUUCCGAAAGCCUCCUGGAAAUUAUUAUGCAGCCAGCCACAACAGGGCUGCAACAAAAUGCCAGUAUCUUCGCUUUUCUCUGGAGUCCCAUCAGCUCAGUGCCGUCACACUGAUCAAAGGCACUGCCUGGCAGUCAUCUAUGUUAGUGAUGAGUAAAGUAGACAGGAAAUUCA